rnacentral:rRNA from 1 species
UUGAUCAUGGCUCAGGAUGAACGCUAGCUACAGGCUAACACAUGCAAGUCGAGGGGCAGCAGGAUCUUAGCUUGCUAAGAUUGCUGGCGACCGGCGCACGGGUGAGUAACGCGUAUCCAACCUUCCCUUAGUAGGGCAUAGCCCGAAAUGAAAAUCGGAUUAAUACCCUAUGUUUCCAAUGAGGACAUCUGAGCUAGGAACAAAGAUUCAUCGCGUAAGGGAUGGGGGAUGCGUCCGAUUAGGUAGUCGGCGGGGUAACGGCCCACCGAGCCAUCGAUCGGUAGGGGUUCUGAGAGGAAGGUCCCCCACAUUGGAACUGAGACACGGUCCAAACUCCUACGGGAGGCAGCAGUGAGGAAUAUUGGUCAAUGGGCGAGAGCCUGAACCAGCCAAGUAGCGUGCCAGGAUGACCGGCCCUAUGGGUUGUAAACUGUCUUUUAUGCGGGGAUAAAGUGCGCCACGUGUGGUGUUUUGUAGGUACCGCAUGAAUAAGGACCGGCUAAUUCCGUGCCAGCCGCUGC